CUCCCUGUGCUGCGGCCCGGCCCGGGGACCUCCCUGCGCACCUCCCUGACCCCCGCCGCCCCCGCAUUCCCUCCCGUCUCCGUCCUCAGGCUUCACGGCCCGCCCGGCAGACAGACUCUGGGCUCCGGGAGGCAAAGAAGCUUCCCCGGGGCAACUCAGGAAAGGGACAGACGGGCGGCUGUGUUGUCUCCAGCUGCGGCUCCUCCAAAGAAAGCGGCCAAGCUAAUUCUCCUACAAGACUUCAGUGGACACACAUUUUUAUUUAGUUGGGGUGAACGCCUGGGACUGGAAACCCUGAGCCAGAUGCUCAGUGUCAGCUCAAGGUACGAGACACUGCAGACUGUUCCAGAUAAGACCCCCGUAGGUGCUUAUCUGCUGGGGGCUCAGUAGUGAGCCUCUGCCUCCGGCUCAGGUCGUGAUCCCGGAUCGAGUCCCACAUCAGGCUCCCUGCGGCUUCUCCCUCUGCCUGUGUCUCUGCCUCUCUCUGGGUCUCUCAUGAGUAAAUAAAAUCUUUAAGAAAAAACCAAACUCAUAGGCGCUCCCAUAACCAAGGCAUGAAGAUUCUACUUUCUCCACAGACUUGUCAACUCCCGGUAUUGCAGGCUUCAGUACAUCCUCAUUCUAGUGAGUAAACACCUCAUCCUACGGUA